rnacentral:lncRNA from 1 species
AUCUGCACCUUCCUGAAAAAUGGCGCCACUCAGGUAUGGGAUACCCCUCAGGAUGUGCCCUCUGCCUCUCAGGGCAAUGAGUGGGUUGGUUAUGACAACGUCAGGAGCUUCAGUAUCAAGCUAAAGUCACCUUCUCCAACAAGCUGCAGGUCCAGCCCUGAAUUUAGGGAAAGAAAAUGACACCUGGUGUCCUCUAUCGUUAAACAAACUCAAUGGCUUAAGCAGAACGGUUUCGGAGGUGCCAUGAUCUGGGCUGUUGACCUGGAUGACUUCACUGACACUUUCUACAACCAGGAAAAGUCCCCCCUGAUCACUGCCCUGAAGGAUGCCCUUGGCCUGCAGAGCGCAAGUAAAGUUAAGUCAGCAUCUUGGUGGAAUGAACCUUUCCCUUGGACUCUCCCCUCUAAGAUAUAACCAAAAGGACAUUCAUACAACAAAAGAGGACAUAUACACAUCGCAAAAGAUGUCUGGGAGACCCUUGCAACCAUAUGCCUGAAGGUGGUGGUGGGGCUGGAUCCUCUGGAGGAAGUGAAAGCUGAUACAGAGGAGCUCCAUGGAGAGAGAUGUGCUGUGGUGGCAGGAAGUGCUCAGGUGAAAAGAGCACCCUGUCCCUCCCCAAUACUCCAGUCCCAGAAUCUUCCAGAGCACUGUGUGAAGAGUGUGGCAGCCAUGGAAGGAAAAUGCGCAGGUUGCACCACCCCUGCUCAGUCCACGGAGCCAGUAACUCCUGUUCCCAGCAGCAGGAGCGGAAGUGGGAGAGAGACCGGGAGCAGCAGUUCUGGAGGCAGCUCUGGCGGCAAUGGAUUCUGUGCCAGCAAAGCUGAUGGUCUCUAUCCUGUGGCAUAAAAGAGAAAUGCCUCCUGGCACUGCCUGAAUGGAAUCAUAUACCAGCAGAACUGAUAGGCCAGGCUUGUCUUUGACACAAGCUGUUUUAUCGUUGCAACUGGGCACAAACCUGACCCGUGUCUCAAUUCCCAUGGGUUCUGAACAGUCUCCUUUGCUUAGCACAUCUUGCUGCCACCUAGGGUUCCAUAAAAAAACCCAUCAGUCAAAACAUGAGUGUCCUUGGUUUUAAGUGAUUUUGGAGGAAACCUUUCUAGACGUGAAAAUACAGGCUGUAUGCGGGGGUGGAAUGGCGGAAGAUAGUAUGAGGGAGUGGUGGAGCCAACAACCCCAGUCUAAGAUAGUAUGAGGAAGUGGU